CCCUUGCGGGUGUAGAAAAAUGAAGGUGUGACAACCCUAACUCCCAAAGACCGUAAAAGCUGCGUAGAAGCUACUGUUCAUCUUCCCCUUCACCAAACUCUCCUCACGCACUUCCCCCCUCUCUCUUGCCAAGUAGAUGUAACGACAUCUUACAACAACAAGAUUCCCUCCCUCACUUGCCCGUUUUCAAUCUAUUUCACGCGGUGGGAAUGCUCUAAAAGAUGGGUGUUGGAUGAGUGAGAGGCGUCGGAUCGAUCUCAUUCAAUCUAAUCCUCACAUUCAUCAUGUGCUCGUUUUUAAAAUCUGAUUUCUUGAAGAAAAAGAAAGAAUCUGAGGAUAGAUAUAAAAAGAGAAUUUUCGGUAGUAGCAGGGGAGAUUUGGAUUUUUUUGGAAAUUGAGAGAAAUUUUCAAAGAUUUUUCUUUAUUUCAGAGCUUUUCUUUUGUUGAACUUUUUUGAUGUGGCUCCAGAUUAAGUCAUGUUUGGACGUGCUUCGUCUAUCUUCUCUUAGUCUAGUCUUUUUUUCUUGAGAUAAAAUAUACAACAGUCCUUCAGCUGUGCUUGAGUUUGGCAUAAAAACAAAACAAAAUAAAGAUAUGUAGUUCGUUUCUUCUAUUUUUGAUCUGGAAAUUUCAGUUUGUUUAAGAUGGACUCCGUUUGAGGAAUUGAGGGUUCUCUAUUUGUUGUUCGUGGCUCGUGGUGUUAUUUGUGUUCAACUAUAGUGUUGCGUUUUUCUUAUAAACUAGUUGGAAGAUCUUUAAUAUAUUGAAAAGUUUCAGAGGUCCGUUCUUCUUUCCUUCACUGUUUAGCUCUUAAUAUCACGCUUUAACGACUUCCCUUAAUCUCUUAUUGAAUGUUUGGCUUAUCUCAUUAAAUUUUUGUCGAGCUUAAUGUGUUGUUCUCUUUUUGUGAGUUUAGUUAUUGUCGUUACUAUCUUGAUUUCAUGUAAGUUCAAAGAACACCCAGUAGAGAUAUAUUAAUGUCAUAGUCAAUUUGGUAUCG
rnacentral:lncRNA from 1 species